UUCCGGUUGAUCCCGCCGGACCCCACUGCUAUCGGGAUAGGACUAAGACAUGCUAGUCGAGCGCCUCAGCCAAAAUGAGGCGCGGCAUACAGCUCAGUAACACGUGGCUAAUCUGCCCUUAGGAUAGGAAUAUCCCCGGGAAACUGGGGCUAAUUCCCAAUAGGCGAAGAACUCUGGAAUGAGUCUUCACCCGAAAAGAGCUUACGUUAUGCUCGUGAGUUUCGCCUAAGGAUGAGGCCGCGACCGAUCAGGUUGUUGGUGAGGUAAUGGCUCACCAAGCCUUUUACCGGUGCGGGCCGUGAGAGCGGGAGCCCGGAGAUGGGCACUGAGACAAGGGCCCAGGCCCUACGGGGCGCAGCAGUCGCGAAAACUUUGCAAUACACGAAAGUGUGACAGGGCUAUCCCGAGUGCCAUCCGCUGAGGAAGGCUUUU
rnacentral:rRNA from 1 species